AAUCGUUUUAAUAGUUUAAUAAAAACCCUAAUCUUGUAAAUUAGAGAUGAGCAAUAGCUUUUAA
rnacentral:tRNA from 1 species